rnacentral:rRNA from 1 species
GAUGAACGCUGGCGGCGUGCUUAACACAUGCAAGUCGAACGAUGAAGCCCAGCUUGCUGGGUGGAUUAGUGGCGAACGGGUGAGUAACACGUGAGUGACCUGCCCUUAACUCUGGGAUAAGCCUGGGAAACUGGGUCUAAUACCGGAUAGGAGCGCCUACCGCAUGGUGGGUGUUGGAAAGAUUUAUCGGUUUUGGAUGGACUCGCGGCCUAUCAGCUUGUUGGUGAGGUAAUGGCUCACCAAGGCGACGACGGGUAGCCGGCCUGAGAGGGUGACCGGCCACACUGGGACUGAGACACGGCCCAGACUCCUACGGGAGGCAGCAGUGGGGAAUAUUGCACAAUGGGCGAAAGCCUGAUGCAGCGACGCCGCGUGAGGGAUGACGGCCUUCGGGUUGUAAACCUCUUUCAGUAGGGAAGAAGCGAAAGUGACGGUACCUGCAGAAGAAGCACCGGCUAACUACGUG